GAACGGGGAGCAGCCCAGAGCCUGAAUCAGUGUGUGUGUUAGUGGAAGCGUCUGGAAAGGCGCGCGAUACAGGGUGACAGCCCCGUACACAAAAAUGCACAUGCUGUGAGCUCGAUGAGUAGGGCGGGACACGUGGUAUCCUGUCUGAAUAUGGGGGGACCAUCCUCCAAGGCUAAAUACUCCUGACUGACCGAUAGUGAACCAGUACCGUGAGGGAAAGGCGAAAAGAACCCCGGCGAGGGGAGUGAAAAAGAACCUGAAACCGUGUACGUACAAGCAGUGGGAGCACAGAGCAAUCUGUGUGACUGCGUACCUUUUGUAUAAUGGGUCAGCGACUUAUAUUCUGUAGCAAGGUUAACCGAAUAGGGGAGCCGAAGGGAAACCGAGUCUUAACUGGGCGUUAAGUUGCAGGGUAUAGACCCGAAACCCGGUGAUCUAGCCAUGGGCAGGUUGAAGGUUGGGUAACACUAACUGGAGGACCGAACCGACUAAUGUUGAAAAAUUAGCGGAUGACUUGUGGCUGGGGGUGAAAGGCCAAUCAAACCGGGAGAUAGCUGGUUCUCCCCGAAAGCUAUUUAGGUAGCGCCUCGUGAAUUCAUCUCCGGGGGUAGAGCACUGUUUCGGCAAGGGGGUCAUCCCGA
rnacentral:rRNA from 1 species